CACGUAGGGUGCGAGCGUUGUCCGGAAUUAUUGGGCGUAAAGAGCUCGUAGGCGGUGUGUCGCGUCGGCCGUGAAAACCUGCAGCUUAACUGUGGGCUUGCGGUCGAUACGGGCAUCACUGGAGUUCGGCAGGGGAGACUGGAAUUCCUGGUGUAGCGGUGAAAUGCGCAGAUAUCAGGAAGAACACCAAUGGCGAAAGCAGCUUUCUGGGACGGUACUGACGCUGAGACGCGAAAGCGUGGGGAGCGAACAGG
rnacentral:rRNA from 1 species